rnacentral:ncRNA from 3 species
AGCUGGUUCCCUCCGAAGU